rnacentral:rRNA from 1 species
UGAGUACGAGAUGCUACGGCAUCGAAUCAGUCUAUGUUAUACUUCCAAGAAAAGCUUGCAAUGUCAUAAACAAAUAAUGCCUGUACCAUAACCGACACAGGUGGGUAGGUAGAGUAUACUAAGGGGCGCGAGAUAACUCUCUCUAAGGAACUCGGCAAAAUGACUCCGUAACUUCGGGAGAAGGAGUGCCUUAUUUUUAUAAGGUUGCAAUAACAAGAUCCAAGCAACUGUUUACCAAAAACACAGGUCUCCGCUAAGUCGUAAGACGAUGUAUGGGGGCUGACGCCUGCCCAGUGCCAGAAGGUUAAAGAAGUUGGUUAGCAUUAGCGAAGCUGAUAACUGAAGCCCUGGUGAACGGCGGCCGUAACGAUAACGGUCCUAAGGUAGCGAAAUUCCUUGUCGGGUAAGUUCCGACCCGCACGAAAGGCGUAAUGAUUUGGAUACUGUCUCGGAGAGGGGCUCGGUGAAAUAGACUUGUCUGUGAAGAUGCGGACUACCUGCACCUGGACAGAAAGACCCUAUGAAGCUUUACUGUAACUUGAGAUUGAAAUUGGACUUUAUCUGCGCAGUAUAGGUGGGAGACGUUGAAAAUAUUCUUGCGGGAAUAUUGGAGUCAUCAGUGAGAUACCACUCUUAUAAUGUUAGAUUUCUAACUUUGUAUCAUUAUCUGGUCAAAGAACAGUUUCAGGCGGGCAGUUUGACUGGGGCGGUCGCCUCCCAAACGGUAACGGAGGCGCACAAAGGUUUCCUCUGAACGUGUAGAAAUCGUAUCUAGAGUGUAAAGGCAUAAGGAAGCUUGACUGUGAGACCUACAAGUCGAGCAGGGACGAAAGUCGGUCUUAGUGAUCUGACGGUGCUGAGUGGAAAGGCCGUCACUCAACGGAUAAAAGUUACUCUAAGGAUAACAGGCUGAUCUCCCCCAAGAGUUCACAUCGACGGGGAGGUUUGGCACCUCGAUGUCGGCUCAUCGCAUCCUGGGGCGGUAGUACGUCCCAAGGGUUGGGCUGUUCGCCCAUGAAAGCGGUACGCGAGCUGGGUUCAGAACGUCGUGAGACAGUUCGGUCCAUAUCCGGUGUAGGCGUUAGAAUAUUGAGAGGAGCCUUCUUUAGUACGAGAGGACCGAGAAGGACAUACCUCUGGUGUACCAGUUAUCGUGCCAACGGUAAACGCUGGGUAGCCAUGUAUGGAGAGGAUAACCGCUGAAAGCAUCUAAGUGGGAAGCCCACCUCAAGAUAAGUAUUCUC